rnacentral:rRNA from 1 species
UACGGAGGGUGCAAGCGUUAUCCGGAUUCACUGGGUUUAAAGGGUGCGUAGGUGGGCAGGUAAGUCAGUGGUGAAAUCUCCGGGCUUAACUCGGAAACUGCCAUUGAUACUAUCUGUCUUGAAUACCGUGGAGGUCAGCGGAAUAUGUCAUGUAGCGGUGAAAUGCUUAGAUAUGACAUAGAACACCGAUAGCGAAGGCAGCUUACUACAGGAUGAUUGACGCUGAGGCACGAAAGCGUGGGGAGCAAACAGG